AUUGAACGCUGGCGGCAUGCCUUACACAUGCAAGUCGAACGGCAGCACGGGGCAACCUGGUGGCGAGUGGCGAACGGGUGAGUAAUGCAUCGGAACGUACCUUUCAGUGGGGGAUAACGUAGCGAAAGUUACGCUAAUACCGCAUAUUCUGUGAGCAGGAAAGCAGGGGAUCGCAAGACCUUGCGCUGAUUGAGCGGCCGAUGUCAGAUUAGCUAGUUGGUGAGGUAAAGGCUCACCAAGGCGACGAUCUGUAGCGGGUGUGAGAGGAUGAUCCGCCACACUGGAACUGAGACACGGUCCAGACUCCUACGGGAGGCAGCAGUGGGGAAUUUUGGACAAUGGGGGCAACCCUGAUCCAGCCAUGCCGCGUGAGUGAAGAAGGCCUUCGGGUUGUAAAGCUCUUUCGGCCGGGAAGAAAUCGCACGGGCUAAUACCCUGUGUGGAUGACGGUACCGGAAUAAGAAGCACCGGCUAACUACGUGCCAGCCGCCACGGUAAUAC
rnacentral:rRNA from 1 species